AUUGCUCCCCGCGCCGAGCUCGGUGUCGCCGCCGUCUUCUCGGCGGUUGGGGGUCGGUGGGGCGGCGCGGGCUGGGGGCGCUGCGCGGGGCGGCGCGCCUCUGUUUUGUCUCCUCCUCUCCCUGUGGAGCGGCUGGGGCUGCGGGGGAGGCCCCGGCUGCCUCUGGACGCCUGGCCAACCGCGACAGCGGCGGCUAGUCCGCGGCCCUGCUGGGAGGGAAAAGGGUGCCGCGGUCUUCCCAGGCGACGGGGAGAGCAGUUCCAAAGAACUGCUGGUUCAGACUUAACCUCUUGCCAAGUUGUGAAAAUAGUGAAGGAUGCUUAGACUACUUAACAUUCAAAUUGCUCUCUGGUUAAUCAUCUUUAGAAGACUGGAUUUCUGGAUAUCUACUCCACUCCAUCUCUAUUGACUUUUAAAACAUGAUAAUGCAAACCUAUAACACUGGCAAUCAUCCAUGAACUUUUAAUUACAUUGAUUAAUAGCGUUUGAAGCUUCCUCAGGGAAUAAACAAUGACAUCAGCAGUGGUUGACAGUGGAGGUUCUAUUUUGGAGCUUUCCAGCAAUGGAGUAGAAAAUCAAGAGGAAAGUGAAAAGGUUUCUGAAUAUCCAGCAGUGAUUGUGGAGCCAGUUCCAAGUGCCAGAUUAGAGCAGGGCUAUGCAGCCCAGGUUCUGGUUUAUGAUGAUGAGACUUAUAUGAUGCAAGAUGUGGCAGAAGAACAAGAAGUUGAGACCGAGAAUGUGGAAACAGGUAGACAACUCAUGAAAUGUUCAUUAUUUAUCAUUUUCUCAUUUUGUAAGCUUCAGCAGUACUAUUGCCAGAUGAAUAAUAUAAUGAAGAACUUUUUAAAAUGCUAUUUAGUAUAGCUUGGAAAUCAGCAAAACCUCUCUGUUUCAGGGACUUUAUAUAGAUACAAUAGUUCUAUACCAUAAUUCUUUGAACCCUACACACAGAAUUACAGCUCUAUAGUGCUAAAAUUAUUUUGUUAUUUUUUUCUUGGAGUACAAAUACUAUUUACUUAUAGAAGUCACUAGGUUGGCUCGGUGCCUGUGGCUCAAGUGGC